AAAGUCCUAGGAGGGGAUAUACAAGAUACUAUGACCAAUCUCUGCUUUUCAAAUUUGAUUUUAUAUACUUUGAAAGAAGCAAUUUUCCUAGAUAUACCAUGUGAAAUUCUAUUAGUCUCAUCUAAUGACAACAAUUGACUUACAAACUAGCAAAGGUUUAUUUUUUAUUUAAUAUGUGCAAAUUCGUUUUGUUUAACCAUUCUGUUUUACAUCAUUUAGGCAAAAUUACUUGUAAUAUAUAUAUAUAUUUAUAUAUAUAAAGGUGCCUUGAACUAAACCCUUCUCAGACACAGAGCUGAGGAAAGCCCCUCAAUGGACAUAUUUGGGCUACACAGAUGUUUAUCUAGUUUCAUGAAGUAAGUUAAGGGCAAAAAGGAGCAAGUUGUUCAUUUCCAAUUCUCUGCUCUAUUGACCACAGCACAUUUCCUGUGUUAGAUAACUCUGCCCCAGGUGAGCUUUGUGGGCAUUGGCAAGGUCACUUCAGGUUAUGGUCACAAAUUCUUAGCCCAAGAGACCUGAGUGUGCCAUGAAUAAGCUCAAAUUCCAUUGGUGUGUUACAAGAGUUCUACUGAGCCUCCCAAAACCCCCCUGAGACACCUCUGAAAUCCCAUCAAAGCAAUUCCAGACUGUGCUGCUUACCAUGGGAUUGGGGACUCUCCUCUGUGCUGGUGCUUGGGGAUCUGCUGAGGGGAAAGGAGAGCAGCUGCUGCCAAGGGAGGGGCAGGGAGGGACUGAGACAUCCCAGAGCUGCUACAUCCAUGUAGUUCUAAGCUUGGCUGCUGCAUCUGCUGGAUCCAAGGGGCUGUUCAGGCUUUGCUGGAAACACCACACUGCAGAAAUAUUAACUGAGCUUCCCAAGGAACAGAUGCUGCUGAUGGAGAUUCAGCCUUCAGUUAAACAAUUUAUUUCAGCCAAGGGUUUGUGAGGAAUUCUCAUGAGACUGGAACUGGAAACACAACAUUUUGCAGCAGUAGAAAUGUGAGAGACGUGAACCUUGCCAGCCAAGAUCUGCUGGAACUGCUUUUUGGCAUUGUCCUAUCACAUACAUCUUCAGUUUGACAAAUGAAUCAGUUAAGCAAGAACUGCACCAAAUCAUAUCAGAAAUCACUUUUUCAGCUUAUUUACAAAGAACUUGAAAGUACAGGAUUUUUUGUGCCAAUUCCCCCGCCCAGAUUAACUCCUUUCUCCCCACCCCCAGAUAUUUAAAACCAUCAAAGAAUGACCAAACAUGGGAGGCAGUUUAACCAAGAGCCAGUAACUUGGCAAGGGCUGUGAAUCUCCUGGAAGUGGGACACUUUUUUAGGUGCAGAACAGGUGAAAGCACAGAAAGAGGAAGGCAGAGAGGAGCAAACUGCACAUCUGCCACAAGAACAAGCACACUAGGCCUGGAUUAGACAGAAAUAUGAAUUGUGGUUCUGAUCUUAAAGUGGAAGGACCCUUGAAUGUGUGAAUCCUUCAGUCUGACAAACCCUUGGGUCAAACCUUUAUGUUUUACAGGCUCUCAGAUUGUCACAAAGCUCAUCUCAAAAAGUAUUUUACUAUCAAAACCAUUUGUUUCACAAUCCAUAGAAAGGUUGUUGACAAUCUAAAAAUAUUUAUCAUUUUAUAUUAGUAUUUUUUUCCACACAAAAACCCCUUGCUGAUUAUCAUGAAAAUGAUCAGCACGAAACAUUUGCUUUGAAGCAGGAUUGGUAUUUUUAUUUAUUGGACAGCCCAAUGUAGGUGAAGAGCAAAAUGGUAUUUUUUAAUUCUGACCAUACUCCUUUCCUGUUCUUGGAGAAGCCUAUACAGUAACUGGGACAAGUGCAAAAAACUUCAUGAUCCAAGAAAUAACCUUACAUAUGUAUGAAGUGCUGCACCAAGGAUAAACUCCCAAAGAGGAGAAAUGCCAUUUCAUAUUUGUGACAAAAACCAGACAGGUCUGUUUAUUCCUGAUAGGUUCUAAGUGUAUCAGCAUUGCUUCACAUUUCCUGCUACUCUGACAAAUGUUUAUCCAUCUCACUGGAGUAUAUUCUAGCUGGAAAUGUAUGCAUGAGGGUUUUUUUAAAUCAUCUGAUAAAUGUUGCAGCUUUUAAGAACAAGUCUCAGGAUAAAAGGAUAAUGCUUUCUUCUCAAGGUUAAAAUAAAUAACCUGAAGCCCUUUAAAAUAACUCUCUUCCUUUAGAGUUCAGAUUAAAGAGCCGGCAAGGAUCAACUAUUGCCUCAAGUGCUUGGGUUGACUCAUUGGUGAAAACUAUAUGCUAAAUUUAGCAGUGAAUUUUAAUCCCUAAACAAUCACUUAACAUAAAUUCAGUAGAGACUCAAUGGAUUAAAGCUUCCAUGCAGUCAAUCCACAGCUUACAAAGUUAGUCUUGAAAUUUCCUUUGUGUUACUUCUUGUGCUAUUUCUGAAUCACCUCCUUUAUUAAGAAUCAAGUCUUUCAGACGAAACUUUUUUUUUUAGACUGAACUGCAGCUUUGAGAAAGGUAUGUAAAUAAUUCAGGGAACCUUUCUGACAGCUCCUCUUCCCUCAAAUUAAACUUGGUGCUGACCAAGCCAGCAGCAGUUGCAGUUGUGCUGGCACAACCUCAGGUGCUACAGCCCUGAGAAGAGCAAUUCAGUUCAAAUCAGCUAAUUCAGAUAGUUUGCUUUUACUGUGUGGCAGAGGAUCUGACACACAGUAAAUACUCAAAAUUCUGGUCACCAAUAAGAAUAUCAAAUAUUGUAUUAAUACAGAACUGCCUUGCAGAGCAGUGCAGAAUUGCCAUUAUCAGCUACAUGUGCCAAAUCAAAACAUUCAGUCCCCAAAGCACCUGUGAAAUCACACACAGGACACUUACAGGUAUGUUUUCUGUAUCUACUUAUUUAUGGAGAAGAGCAGUUUUUCCUUGGAAAGACAGUUUAAGCCUCAAUAGAAGCAAUUCCCAAGCCUUCCAACUCUAAAGUCAUGCUGUGCAGAUUUUUUACACAGUUCUUCAACUUUUCAUUAGUUAAAAGGGGAAAACUCCCAAAUUAAGGACUAAUAUUGCCAGAAUUAAGCAGAUUCUGCUUCACCUUCUCACAUAGGAUUAGAGCCUAACACAGGUGUCACACCAUGUCAUCAAAAGGAAACCCAAGAACUCAGAUCUUUGCAAUUGAAAUUUAUCUG